rnacentral:rRNA from 1 species
UACGAAGGGGGCUAGCGUUGUUCGGAAUCACUGGGCGUAAAGCGCACGCAGGCGGAUCGUUAAGUCAGGGGCGAAAUCCCGAGGCUCAACCUCGGAACUGCCUUUGAUACUGGCGAUCUUUGAGUCCGGGAGAGGUGAGUGGAACUCCGAGUGUAGAGGUGAAAUUCGUAGAUAUUCGGAAGAACACCAGUGGCGAAGGCGGCUCACUGGCCCGGUACUGACGCUCAGGUGCGAAAGCGUGGGGAGCAAACAGG